UAGGAAAGUCCGGUGGUUAACAUAUAACUUUUUUAGUGGGGCACAAGCUUGGGUAAUGCACAGAAAAUUUAACAAUAAAAACUUUUAGUGUUUUAUUAGAACUAUGAAAUAAAAAGCCUUAAUUAACCUUUAUUUUAGUUAAAUAUCACAUACAGGAUCCGGCUUAC
rnacentral:RNase_P_RNA from 1 species